CCUACGGGAGUCAGCAGUGAGGAAUAUUGGUCAAUGGACGCGAGUCUGAACCAGCCAAGUAGCGUGAAGGAUGACUGCCCUACGGGUUGUAAACUUCUUUUAUAAGGGAAUAAAGUGAGGCACGUGUACAGUUUUGUAUGUACUUUAUGAAUAAGGAUCGGCUAACUCCGUGCCAGCAGCCGCGGUAAUACGGAGGAUCCGAGCGUUAUCCGGAUUUAUUGGGUUUAAAGGGAGCGUAGGUGGUUUGUUAAGUCAGUUGUGAAAGUUUGCGGCUCAACCGUAAAAUUGCAGUUGAUACUGGCAGCCUUGAGUACAGUUGAGGUAGGCGGAAUUCGUGGUGUAGCGGUGAAAUGCUUAGAUAUCACGAAGAACUCCGAUUGCGAAGGCAGCUUACUAAACUGCCACUGACAUUGAUGCUCGAAAGUGUGGGUAUCAAACAGGAUUAGAUACCCUAGUAGUC
rnacentral:rRNA from 1 species